rnacentral:tRNA from 1 species
ACCGGCUUAGUAUAAGAUUGGAGUACAUGGGAUUGUAAAUCCUAAGGUGUGGAUUCAGCCGGGA